GGGGCUGCACCGGUUUCGACGUGGGUGCAGACCUGCCGCAGGGCAUGCCGAGGUGCUGUCACCUCGCUAAACCACAGCAGCAAAUUAACUGCGAACGACGAACGUUUCGCUCUCGCCGCCUGAUCGCGGUGAGCCUUGCACCGGUCGGCCGAUAGACCGGGCUGGAGGGGCCGUAAGGCCCUGACGGCAGCAAGGGCGCUUCAAUCGGCUGGUCGCGCCGCGGGCAACCUGUGGCGCGACGAGACCUAAGGUUGCUGGUUCCGCGCGCAGCGUGCCGCUGCGCGGCGCGCGGGACGAGACUCCAUACAGACGGCUACGCAUGUAGAACUGCGCAGGAAAGGCCUGCGGACGGCGGUUCGACUCCGCCCAGCUCCACCA
rnacentral:tmRNA from 1 species